UACGAAGGGUGCAAACGUUGCUCGGAUUCAUUGGGCGUAAAGGGUGCGUAGGCGGCGGGGCAAGUCUGAUGUGAAAUCCCGGGGCUCAACCCCGGAACUGCAUUGGAUACUGCCUUGCUUGAGUACUGGAGAGGAGACUGGAAUUUACGGUGUAGCAGUGAAAUGCGUAGAUAUCGUAAGGAAGGCCAGUGGCGAAGGCGAGUCCCUGGACAACUCCUGACACUGAGGCACGAAAGCUAGGGGAGCAAACAGG
rnacentral:rRNA from 1 species